AGUCCCAGUGCAAAAGAAGCAGAAAUGAGCUCACUCACCUCUAACGCCGCCUGGGGGUCCCCGUCGAUCAGAGCAUCUGGGAAGCUCUGGAAAAACCUGCCAGGAAAACAACGACUUCAGCAGGGCUGUCUAACCAAGGAAAGAAUUGAACGACAAAUAGCAAAGGUGAAGAAAAUCACGCACCGCUGGGACGAUGCAGGUCCUGCUGCAGCUGCCGCCAUCCCUAGGAGUCACGAAAGCGUCUGCCUGAGCGUUUUCUACCUUGGUUACCAGCUCCGCCGCCGCCCAGGAGGGGAAAACUUCUAAAGAAACCCCAACUGAGCUUCCGUCCUCCGUGGCCAAUCAGCGAUCGCUCAGCAUGCGGCCGCGGAAAAGGAGGCGCAGGGUGGGCAGGUAGGCGCAGGGCCGGCUGGGAAAGAGGAGGAAACGCUCUCCGGCCCCGCCCCUACCCGUGACGCGCACAAGGUCCCGCCCCGAGGGCGUGGCCACGAGGCCUGUGCCUGUCCGCAUGCCCGGGGCGGGGGCUCCCGCAUGACUUGUAGGCUUUUUAAUAUUGUUUCAA
rnacentral:lncRNA from 1 species